AAUGUUGAAUGCACCACACAUUAAAAUUUAAUAUUAAAUGACUUAUUUACCCCAUUAUGCAAUGACAAUUUUGACCUUAUUAGGUUUUAAAAAAAUAAAAUAAAAAUCUCUAAAUACACCCCAAAUCACUAAACCCUAACCCUUAUUUAUCUUCUCAACUAUCAAAACCCUCCCACCCUCCAUUGUUGAAUAAAACUCUAACCAAUGAAACUACAAACAUGUUGAUUGAGAAAAAAUUGCUUUUGACGAAUGGAACACGAAAUCAAUGUUUCGGAAGCUUCACAUGAGGUAAGACUUCAUAUUUUUCAUCAUUUUAGUGAUUUCAAUGACAUCGAUAAUAAUUUAAUCUUGAGUUCGUUGCGAUGUUUAAACUUCUAUAUCCAGUCCGUUGAGUGACGUGUAGUCCCUUGUUCAUUGUUCCUAGCAGAAUCCAAAACCAUUUUAGUUCUUUAACCCCCCGGUCUACUCUUUGCUCUGUGGAGUUGACGACACUUUAUGGGGUUGAAGUUACGCAUCUUUUCAUAGUAGAUUGCGCCUUCGAUAAAAUAUGUUAUAAACAGCGUUUCUUGUUAUUCAUCUGUUUACUCAUCUUCAUUCCUUCUAGAUUUGAGAUAGAAUUCCUAGCGACCAAAUCUAUUUACCUUCUCCUCUUGGUUGAGUUCAGUUCACAAAGAGGAAGAUUUAGAACAAUGAGAGUGUUGGUCACUUCACUAAUAUGAUCUAUACCAUUGCAUUUAUUUGUAAACCUUUGAAUCUCCCCAGUGACAAUCACCGCAGAGAAGUGUCUAGAUUGUGCUGUGUAUUUUUGGUCUUGAGUCCCUAAGAUUUUGGGUGAAAUUUCUGUCUAAUAGUGGUGUGUAAGGUUUUCGGAGUUACCAUAAUCCACAUUUGAAUUUGGAGGAUAUAUAAAUUCCUAGGAAACUGAGGGUGGAUGUACGCAACAGGUGAUGCGAAAUAUAUAAGCACACAAAUUAAACCCUCUUUUUGUCAAUUGUAGCAAAGUAUGUAAGUAGGGAUCGUUCUAGGCCGGGGAUUAGGAGGGAUUGCCAAAUCACUUAAAACUGACUCAAAACGUAAAAACAAAGUUUAAAACACUAAACUAGACUCAAAGAAUGCAAAACUAAACUAUAAAACACCAAAACAAACCAAAAGACUCAAAACAGCAAAUAAACACUCAAAAAUGCCUUAAAAACACUUUCUGGGCAGUUUUGAACACCUAACACUAAAUUGGACGAAAUUGGGUUAUGACUUGACUCAAGACACUUAAAAACACAAACUAAAUUGAUUUCUAACUAAUCUAACACUUUGUAAAUUGAAAACAAGAACAAACUUUGUAAAUUGAACAGAUUCUAAAACGAAUUUGAUAAAAGUGAAUGGAUGGAAAGCUAGCUAAGGGGUUCUUCUCCACACAUGUCACACUUGCAUACAAAACGAUUUCCAAUUGCUUCUCCCUAAACCAUGAAUUCCCAACACCCCAGAUUAACCGUGAAUUGCACUAAUUAACCCUCAGAUUUUCCUUAAGUU
rnacentral:lncRNA from 1 species